rnacentral:rRNA from 1 species
GACGAACCGUGCGAACGUUAUUCGGAAUCACUGGGCUUAAAGGGUGCGUAGGCGGCGCGGAAAGUUGGGUGUGAAAUCCCUCGGCUCAACCGAGGAAUUGCGCCCAAAACUUCCGUGCUCGAGGAAGAUAGAGGUGAGCGGAACUUAGGGUGGAGCGGUGAAAUGCGUUGAUAUCCUAAGGAACACCGGUGGCGAAAGCGGCUCACUGGAUCUUUUCUGACGCUGAGGCACGAAAGCUAGGGUAGCGAACGGG